rnacentral:lncRNA from 1 species
GCACCAAACUGAAAAUCAACGGAUUUAUGUCUCGAGCAUCACAAUCCGGGAGUUAGAAGGAGCCUGGAGGCUAGAAUUGCGUGACUGGAAUUAUGAACUCGGAGCCUGCCGUAUACCUACAAAUAUUCGCUUCACCGGUAAAGGAUCGACCCCUAUGGAUUAUUCAAAUGGCAACGUUUCAUCUACAGCACUGCGAGAACAGCACAGUCCAUGAAUUCCA